GGUGACUCAGUGGUAGAGUGCUUGCCUAGCAUGCAUGAAGCCCUGGGUUCAAUUCCUCAGUACCA
rnacentral:tRNA from 1 species